rnacentral:rRNA from 1 species
GAUGAACGCUGGCGGCGUGCCUAAUACAUGCAAGUCGAGCGAACAGACGAGGAGCUUGCUCCUCUGACGUUAGCGGCGGACGGGUGAGUAACACGUGGAUAACCUACCUAUAAGACUGGGAUAACUUCGGGAAACCGGGGCUAAUACCGGAUAAUAUAUUGAACCGCAUGGUUCAAUAUUGAAAGACGGUUUUGCUGUCACUUAUAGAUGGAUCCCCGCCGCAUUAGCUAGUUGGUAAGGUAACGGCUUACCACGGCAACGAUGCGUAGCCGACCUGAGAGGGUGAUCGGCCACACUGGAACGGAGACACGGUCCAGACUCCUACGGGAUGCAGCAGUAGGGAAUCUUCCGCAAUGGGCGAAAGCUUGACGGAGCAACGCCGCGUGAGUGAUGAAGGUCUUCGGAUCGUAAAACUCUGUUAUUAGGGAAGAACAAAUGUGUAAGUAACUAUGCACUUCUUGACGGUACCUAGUCAGAAAGCCACGGCUAACUACGUA